UACGGAAACCUUGUUACGACUUUUACUUCCUCUAAAUGAUCAAGUUUGACCGUCUUCUCGUCACGCCCAGUACAGACGCCGCAAGACAUCUGCCGGACGGUCGAUCCGAUGGCCUCACUAA
rnacentral:rRNA from 1 species